GGCGGGGCCUCGCCGUUGCCAUGGCGUCGCUUCCGGUGCGGCGGGGCGGAAGUGGCGGGCGCUGUCGGGAGGCGCCGCUGAGCUCACCGGAGACACCACCCCCUAGAAAACAACCCAUGGCUGGGGGCUGGGGGGUGCUGAGCCCCGAACCGACGGACAGACAGACAGACGCAGCCCCCGCCAUGCCCUGACCCCCCCAACCCACGCCCUGAAGAAGCUCCGAGAGGGGAGAGACGCAGCGACCCCCGAUUCCCCAGGGAUUCCCCGGCGGUUCUGGAAAACGGGGGGGGGAGGGGGGAACCCCAGCGACCCCCCUCCCCCUGGAGCGAGCAGCAAAAGGUCGAUGGGGUGGGAGUGAGCGCUGAAGGAUGCUGAAGAAGAGCAGCUUGGUGUUGUGGGGGGCGGCGCUUUUCAUCGCCUGGCACGGCCUCCUCCUCCUCUUCCUCUGGAGCCGCCCGCCUUCCCCCGCCGCCGACGGCGCCCGCUUAACGGCCGAAGUCAUUCGUUUGGCUCAAGACGCCGAAACCGAACUGGAACGGCAAAAAGAACUCCUGCGCCAAAUCCACCGCUACAGCCAAUUAUGGGGGCGGCGGCGGGUUCCCAUCACCCCCAAAUCUUCACAAAUUCCCCCCAGACUCUCCCCCCCGCCGCCACCGCCGCUCACCGACGCCGCCGACGCGGUGUUACCGGUGCUGGUCCUGGCUUGCGACCGCAGCACCGUCCGCCGGUGUUUGGAUAAACUCUUACGUUACCGGCCGUCGGCUCAACGUUUCCCCGUCAUUGUCAGCCAGGACUGCGGCCACGCCGAAACGGCUGCUGUUAUCGCAUCCUACGGCGACGCCGUGGCUCACAUCCGUCAGCCCGAUCUCAGUGAUAUCCCAGUGCCGGCAGAACACCGUAAAUUCCAAGGUUAUUAUAAAAUCGCUCGGCAUUACCGGUGGGCGUUAGGUCAGGUUUUUCGUACCUUCCGUUACCGCGCCGCCAUCGUGGUGGAGGACGAUUUAGAAAUCGCCCCCGAUUUUUUCGAGUAUUUCCAAGCGGCGUUUCCCCUCCUUUUGGCCGAUCGCAGCCUCUGGUGCAUCUCUGCUUGGAACGACAACGGGAAAGAACAAAUGGUGGACGUCGGACAAGCCGAUUUGCUUUACCGGACUGACUUUUUUCCCGGUUUGGGUUGGUUGCUUUUAGCCGAACUUUGGGAUGAACUUGAACCCAAAUGGCCGCGAGCUUUUUGGGAUGAUUGGAUGCGUCAACCCGAACAACGCCGAGAUCGUUCCUGCGUCCGCCCCGAAGUCUCACGGACCAUGACGUUUGGUCGGAAAGGAGUGAGCCACGGCCAAUUUUUCGAUCAAUAUUUAAAAUUUAUCAAACUCAACGACCGCUUCGUGCCUUUUACCCAACUGGAUCUUUCUUACCUCAAAAAGGAGGAGUACGAACGUUCUUUUCUCCCCAAGGUUUACGCCGCUCCCGAGGUGAAGGUGGAGGAGCUCCAGGGCAACCGGCGCCGGGAACUGGGCACCGUCCGUUUGCAAUACAGCGGCCGCGAUUCCUUCAAAGCCUUUGCCAAAGCCCUGGGGUUGAUGGACGACCUCAAAUCCGGCGUCCCCCGCGCCGGUUAUCGCGGCAUCGUCAGCUUCAUUUAUCGGGGCCGACGCGUUUAUCUCGCCCCCCCCUCGGACUGGACGGGUUACGAUCCCAGUUGGAGUUAGCGGGCGCCAUCCCUCUGCUUGUAUUUUUAUUUUUCCUCCCCUUUUUCCAUCAUUUUUUGGGUGGUUCUGGCUUUGUUUUUUUUUUUUUCUUGUGGUUUUCGGUUGGGUUUUUUUGGUGUGGUUUAGCGAGGAUUCAGCACCCAGCGACACCGGGGUGGGGGGAGGGAAAUCGGCUGCGAGCGGAGGAAUUCUUUUCCAGAAUAAAAGCCAAAACCAAAAAAAAAUCCUAAAAGAAGCCCAAAAUUCAGAUUUCUUUCGCCGCCCCACAGCUGCCGGCUCCCUCGGGUCCUAUAUUGCGCUCCGGGGCCUCGUCCCUGCGUUCAGCCCCGUGGCUCUGGGCGCUCCAGGCCAUAAACUGACCUAUAGUGGUCUGUGCGCAUUUAUAUGGGUCUAUACAGGUUUAUAUGGAUUUAUUUGGGUCUGUAUGAACCUAUGGGGGGUCUAUACAGGUCUAUGUAGGCAUAUGUGAACCUAUAGGGGUCUAUACGAACCUAUAGGAGUCUAUACACAUUUAUGUAGGUCUGUACAGGUCUGUGUGGGUCUAUAUGAACCUAUAAGAGUCUAUUCGGGUCUGUAUGGGUCUAUACAGAUCUAUGUGGGUCUAUACAGACCUAUAUGCCCUGGUCCCUAUAUGGUCUAAGCCCUAUAUUCUGGGCUUUCUACUGGGCUGUGAGGUCUGUAGGGGGUAU